AGUUCGGAUCGCAGGCUGCAACUCGCCUGCGCGAAGUUGGAAUUGCUAGUAAUCGCGGAUCAGCAUGCCGCGGUGAAUACGUUCCCGGGCCUUGUACACACCGCCCGUCACACCAUGGGAGUCGAUAACGCCCGAAGUCAGUGACCCAACCGAAAGGAGGGAGCUGCCGAAGGCGGGAUGGAUAACUGGGGUGAAGUCGUAACAAGGUAGC
rnacentral:rRNA from 1 species